UACGGAGGAUGCAAGCGUUAUCCGGAAUGAUUGGGCGUAAAGCGUCCGCAGGUGGCAAUGUAAGUCUGCUGUCAAAGCGUCUGGCUCAACCAGAUAAAGGCAGUGGAAACUACAUAGCUAGAGUAAGGUAGGGGUAGAGGGAAUUCCUGGUGUAGCGGUGAAAUGCGUAGAGAUCAGGAAGAACACCGGUGGCGAAAGCGCUCUGCUGGACCUUAACUGACACUGAGGGACGAAAGCGUGGGGAGCGAACAGG
rnacentral:rRNA from 1 species